GGAAGUAUUGCGGAAUUGGUACACGCACUGGACUGCCAAUCCAUUAAGGACUUGUGGGUUCAAAUCCCACUACUUCCU
rnacentral:tRNA from 1 species